UUAUUAGAUUAUAAUAAUACUACUUUUGUUACUACUAAAUGUUUAUGAUUGGGGGCAGACGGGGACCGAGGUCACCACAUCUUACAGUUCACAGGUGUUAUGGAUGUGAAGGGUGCGAGAGCCUUGCCGAAGCAGAGACUCAAGCGGUUGUAUUCACUAAUGAUCCUUCCGCAGGUUCACCUACGGAAA
rnacentral:misc_RNA from 1 species